CGAUUACUGCUCAGUAACACGUAGCUAACCUAACCUUAGGUCAGGAUAACCUCGGGAAACUGAGGAUAACCCCUGAUAGAAAAUAAUUCCUGGAAUGGUUCAUUUUUGAAACUUGAGCCUAAGGAUGGGGCUGCGGCUGAUUAGGUAGUUGUUGGUGUAAAGGACUAACAAGCCGAUGAUCAGUAAGGGCUCUUAGCGGAGAAGCCCUGAGAAGGAAUCUGAGAUACUAUUCCUAGCUCUACGGGGUGCAGCAGUUGAGGAACUUUUACAAUGCGCGCAAGCGUGAUAAAAUAAGCCAGAGUGUUUCUCUUAGAGAAACUUUUGUCUGCUGUAAAAAGGCAGACGAAUAAGGACUGGGCAAGACCGGUGCCAGCCGCCGCGGUAAUACCGGCGGUCCGAGUCGAAUCCACAUUUAUUGGGUCUAAAACAUCCGUAGCUUGUUCUGUAAGUCUCUUGUGAAAUCUCAUAUCUCAAAUAUGAGGCGCGCAAGAGGUACUGGGUUACUAGAGACCGGAAGACGUAAGGAGUACGAUUAAGGUAGCGGUAAAAUGUGUUAAUCUUAAUCGGACUACAUGGCGAAGGC
rnacentral:rRNA from 1 species